CGUGGGAGAGAAGAUGGAGCAGAUUCCCCAAAGUGGUGUGGAAAUUCACCUGUGACUGUGGCUAACUGGCACACAUUCAACCUCAAAGAGUGGAUGUUUAGAAACAAUAUGGAAGGCAUUCAUCUAAAGGGAAGAAAGGAGAAGGGAAGGGGAGUUGAAAUUACAGGGAAGUAUGUCAGAUGCUCAGUAGUAAAUGUAAUGGAGAUAGGGCAAACCAGUUUGAUCCAUGCAGACAUUAGUUACUGUGGGAAUACUGCGGAAAACUGUGAAGAAAC
rnacentral:lncRNA from 1 species